CACGCCGUAAACGAUGCGCACUAGACCGGUGCGGUUUUGACGCCGUAUCGGUCGGAGUAAAAACGAUAAGUGCGCCGCCUGGGGAGUACGGUCGCAAGGCUAAAACUCAAAUGAAUUGACGGGGGCUCACACAAGCGGUGGAGCAUGUUGCUUAAUUCGAGGCAACGCGAAGAACCUUACCUGGGUUUGACAUGCUUGGAUUAACCCCAUGAAAGUGGGGCCACAGUCGCAAGACCGGAACAGGCACAGGUGC
rnacentral:rRNA from 1 species